GUAGUGAGGCGAGCGUGGUGUUGAGAGCACGGAACAUUUUCAGUCGUGGUGAUAUUGUUGCGCUGUGAUGGAGAGCAGUGCUGUGAAUUCCUUGUGAACUGAAGUGGAGCCAGCACGUGACAGCAAAACGUAGUAAACAUCAUCAGUAUGAGUGGCAUUGAGGGAAGUGUGGUGUGAUGGCAUGCCUCGGUGACGCUGGUGUCCAUCCUCCUCAAUGAACUGUGUGAAGGAUUGUACUAUUAGCAGGCUUCCUUGAGGGCGAGUUGCAUGAAGAGCUCCUUCAGGCCACAAAGUUUGCUCCACACAACACAAGCACGCCGGUGUACCAGUGUAGACGACUGACCGCAGCGAUAUGUGACCAUUUUUCAGACAUUCCUAGCCGAAGCUUCGAGUCGCCCCGCUUCACGUGUCGUGCCUGAGGAUGGAAGCUGAGGAAAGAACACUAUUACCAGUGAUGAGAAGACGCCUACUGAGCCUAGAGAAUGUGGAGCGGCGCCCAGUGUUCCCAUGGUAGUGUGUUGUUUUGGCUCCAUCACUCACUGAAUCCUCAAGGCACCCUCAUCCCCACCCCCUCCGCCACGACCCGACCUUCCAUGAGUCCCGCAGCCCACGCACCUGUCGCCCCCCCUCGAGUAAGUGAUGGGAGCAAUCAGGAGCGGCGAGGUGGCGAUGCGCGGCUCGGGACUCAGCGGCCCCUGGACAUAAAUCUAAGAGGCGGCUUUGAAUUCAUUCAGGUUCUUUAUGAUUUAUUGUUGCAGUAAAGGUUGUCCUGAGCGUUGCCUUGUGGAUAGCGCUGCUCGGAAAACCUGAUGAAUGUUACGUAAUCUUACCGCAGUCUAAUGUAUGUAAAUGAAAUUUUUUAAACACCUAGUAUAAGGAAUAUUUCUCAUUCUUUGUAUAGUUAUUCUCCUCAUUAUUGAG